AUUGAACGCUGGCGGCAGGCCUAAUACAUGCAAGUCGAACGGUAACAGGAAACAGCUUGCUGUUUCGCUGACGAGUGGCGGACGGGUGAGUAAUGUCUGGAAACUGCCUGAUGGAGGGGGAUAACUACUGGAAACGGUAGCUAAUACCGCAUAACGUCGCAAGACCAAAGAGGGGGACCUUCGGGCCUCUUGCCAUCGGAUGUGCCCAGAUGGGAUUAGCUAGUAGGUGGGGUAACGGCUCACCUAGGCGACGAUCCCUAGCUGGCCUGAGAGGAUGACCAGCCACACUGGAACUGAGACACGGUCCAGACUCCUACGGGAGGCAGCAGUGGGGAAUAUUGCACAAUGGGCGCAAGCCUGAUGCAGCCAUGCCGCGUGUAUGAAGAAGGCCUUCGGGUUGUAAAGUACUUUCAGCGGGGAGGAAGGGAGUAAAGUUAAUACCUUUACUCAUUGACGUUACCCGCAGAAGAAGCACCGGCUAACUCCGUG
rnacentral:rRNA from 1 species